rnacentral:lncRNA from 1 species
AUGCCCAGAGCCCUGGGCCAGCGCGCCUGCACCGCGGCCCCAUCCCAGGGAGGCUUCCAGGAGGGCGCUCCCCCCUCCGCCCCUGCUGGGCCCCUACCGAGCUCGAGCUCGCAGCCAGGCCAGGAUGGGGGCCCGCGGCCCUGGGGGCGGGAAGGCCGGGAACAGCCCGAGCGCCCGCCCCGCCCCGCCCCCGCGCUCGCCCCGCCUCCCCGGCGCCCCGAGCCCCGAGCGCGGAGCCGGGAGCAGCACAGCGCGGGCCCGCUCCCCGCCGCCGUCCCGGAGCCCGCGCUGGAGGGUCUCGAUGACCCUGCGUCAUGUGGAUGGACCACGUUUUGUUCAUCGCUCCGACAUGGACAGAUGACCUGAGCAGCUUCCCCGUCUUGGCCGCCGCAUCGGGGCGCAUCCCACGGAUGUUUGAUGGCCGUGCUGCUGCGGCUCUCUUCCCCUUGAAGUGUGCGUAGCUCGGGAUGCGUGGACCGUGGAGGCGUCGUAGCCUCCCGUCUCGCUGGCACGUGGGUGUCGUGUCCCCCCUCCCCCCAUCCGGGCGCCCCGGGCUCACCACCAUGUCUGUAGGCUCUGCUGUGAUGUCUCACAGGCGGGGUCAGAAUGCUUUAGAACCCUGUCCAUUCACACUUCUCUUCUACAAACUGAAACAGUGGUUUUGGUGCACAAACAGCAGCACUAUCCGUGACAGCCCAUAGACCCUUGCACGGACACGCUGAGGUCCUGCCACAUGACGGGAGUGACUCCCAGACAUGCCCCACCGCGUGGACCUGCCCGGGGCAUGUGCCGCUCGGAGACAGGAGCCACACGGCACCGUGUGAUUCUGUUUCUAUGAAACGCCCGGCAGAGGCAGACCCAGGCUCAGAGGGCAGACCUGGGGUCACCGGGGCUGGGGAAGGGUCGGGGUCUCUCUGGGGGUAACGAGAAGGUUCUGGAACGAGGUAGAGGGGGCGGUUGCCCUGCACUGUAAAUGUGCAAAAUGCCACUGAGUUAUUCACUUUAAAAUGAUGAAUUUCAUGUUAUAUGCAUUUUACCUAAAUUGUUUAAAGGGGUAUUUUUAUGAGAAUCCACGAAACCAACAGAUUUACCUCACGUUGCGCACACUCCCGGGCACACCGCGUGCACACGGCGUGCACACGCCGCGGCCGGUGCCUCACGC